rnacentral:tRNA from 1 species
GUCGGAGUGGCUCAGCCCGGUAGAGCACGGGACUCAUAAUCCUGGGGCCGGGGGUUCAAAUCCCCCCUCCGACA